rnacentral:lncRNA from 1 species
AGUAGAUAAAAUUGUAUGGGAACCCUCUCAACUACUAGAACAAUUUAAAAUAGUUCUCUCAACUGACACCCCAUCAUUCUAAGGUUAGCAUACCCUUUGGACUCCUAAUAUUUAUUUUUAAAAAUUUGACAAGAUAAGCGCUAAUUUUCAGCCCUUGAAUAAGGGGUGUAAGAUAUACACUCCUUUUUGGGUGUGCAGGUGGUAGUACUCUUAUUUUUUGGGGGAGGCAAUUGCUUAUAUACUUCUGAAAAGUUCUCGACUUUCUUAUUUAUUCUGCUUAGAAGGCUAAUAUUAAAAAUAUCCUUUUAACAUUACAAGUUUUUUCAAAUAUAUUCUUAGAAUUAGAUUCUGCUAAUUAGUGAACUAUUAGGAACAAUCGUUAUUUCUAUGAAAUUACUAUUUUGCCUUUUCAAAUAUACCCUUCUACCUUCACCGACUUCUGUUAUUUGCCCUUAAGUUUGGAACAAAAGAAUAUUUUGAUUUUUGUCUUUUUAAAUGUACCCUUCUAUUGACAUCAACUUUUCUUAUUUGUCUUUUAGUUAGGGACAAAUAGAUAUUUUGACUUUUUUCUAACUCUGGUAGAAAAUUUAACCUGAGUUUAACUCGAGAUGACGUAACGGGUACUAACAGUGAGGUUAUUUUUGAAUAAUGAAGAAAUAUACACGGGUUAUAUUUGAAGUAAAGAAAAUAGAAAUAUAUAAAAUAUUUCAGAAGUAUUGAGGGGUAUAUAGACACUAAUUCCUUUUUUUUAACGAAGACUCCUUCAACUUCUAACUUUUUUUUUAUGCUAGUUUUAUAGUCAAUUAAGUUAAAAAAUCAUAUUAAAUUUAAUGAUUUUAUUAGGUAAAGUUAUUAAAUUUAAUAAAAUUAUUAGUAAUUUUGAUAAA